GUGGCAGCCAGUGCCACUCCUGCUGCCUUUUGUGACAUUCCAACCAACAGUGAUUCCCAUGGAUUGCUUCAAAACACAGAUGAUCCUCACAGCUAUAACUCAGAAAACCUUCAGGAAGUCUUAGCAAAUAUUUAUUUAUUAAAUUUUUAAGUUUUUCUAUUUUUCCCAGAGUUUCCAAUAAACACAGAGGAGGAGUGGAGUUUUAGGGAUGGGCCAAUUCCUUUAGUAUCAGUCAUGUCUGCUGUAACUACGUUAUUCCCGACAGAUGUUUGUCUAACCUGUUCUCAAAGAUUUCCAGUGACAGAUUCCUAACAUUUCCUCUAAUGUUCUUGUUCAGUGCCUCACUGUUCUUUACAGUUCAAAGGCAUUCCCUACUCUAACCUGACUUAGCCAUUCCCUGGUAUAAACCUAUCACUUCUUUUCCUGCUGGCAAUGGACAUGUAAGAUACUUUACUCCCUUAUGUUUUGCAACUGUUUUAUGUUUUUAAAGAGUUAUGCCUUUGGUCCCAGUUUUCUUUCAGCUAAGAAAACCCUGCUGCCUCACUCUCUGGCUCCAUGUGAUGCCUUGCCAAUGCCAAGACUAAUUAAAAAUUGCUUUACCUGCUUUACAGUUCAGAAUGGUGUCAGUCAAUUUAUUUUUGCAACAGUGUGAUUUUCUUACAUAACAUUCAAUUUGUGAUUCAGCAAACUUUUAGAUGUCCGGUGUCUCCAGGCUGUUUUCAGGGUGCUGUGAGCACAAGUGUAACAGCGUAAAGCUUCCUCUUUAAACUGUGGUUUGCAUUUAGAAAAUCCCCAGUUAAUACAUGAGAUAGCAUUAACUUUUAACAGGGCACAGGCACAUCUCCUGCAGCAGCAUGUGACAGGGUUAUUAGAUGGUGUUCUGUAACACAGGGCCUGAGGAGAAUGCUGGGGGUCAGUGAAAUCAUGUCUCCAUUAGCAAUGAUCAAAUUCAGAUUGGGUUGUGUUUGGCUGUGGUUUGGAACUGAAUUUGGUAAAACUCAAUGAGAUCUUUAGGCAAAAUUCUAGCUCCAGUUUCUGUUCCCUCCAUUAUUGUGCUGUACUUACCUGCCUCUACAAAGCCAUGCCAACAUCAGAUACUGUAAUCAGACUUAGCUCACUUGAAGAAGGCUGUAAGAGGAUUCUCUCACAUUUACAAGGCAGAAGCAGAAAUUAGUUAUUAGUUAUUCUGUAGCUCUCAUGGACUAUAGACUUUGGCUUUAAAAUACUGAGAACAUUAAACAAAUGCUUACCUUGAACUGCUAAGUAUUUCCUACCAUGAAAACUAAUAAAUCACUGGGUUUCUGACAUUUCAAAAUUGCAUGCUAAUUGUUGGGUCUUAACAUUUUGUGCCUAAUACCCUCACCGUGGUAAUGGUCCUUUAGUCAAACUCCUCAUGUUUAGUAGGAUUUCUAGCUGUGAAAAUGAAAUAAACACCUUUGUAACACCAAACAAAACUAUGAGCUCCUUCACAAGGUCUUACAGAUUAGGAGAGGGAGGAAAGAAUUUUAGAAUGACGAAGCAAGACUGAAAUAACUUUGGUUUUUGUCUGUUUCUUCCUUUUUGUAGUUCAGCUGUUCCAAAACUGCACGGAAGAUCACUUAUCUGGACUGCAACAGUACAAAAGGUCUUUAACUUUUUGGUGUGUCUUCUUCAUAAUCAGUGUGGUAAAGAAAAAGCAGAACUAUACUGAAUGAUUAAUCUUUGACCUAAAUACUUAUUGUAGACGAUAUGAAAAAUUUCCAGCCCUUUAUGUCAGCACGUUUUAAAAUGCUGAUGAGGGUUGCUAAAUCGAAAACUUUCGACAAGGCAGAACACGUGACUGUUCUCUUUUCAAUUUCAAAAGGAACCCUGAAACAGUAGAGGCAACAAAAACAAAAAAAAAGUUCAUGUAGAAAAUACAAAUAUCAUGGUCUUUCCAUGGAAACAGUAAUUCCUUUCCAGGUUGUUGAUGUGCCAGAGUUUGCCUGGCAGAGACCAUCAGAGAUUCAGAACUUGAGGACUGACUCCUACCCAUUGAUCAAGCAAGUCUGCUCCCCAUAAGACCCAGACUUCCUAGACCUCCCAGGUCCACAAGAACACGAAGCAAAUAAAAACUCCUGACCUUCUGCCCAGAAUCCUCGGGUUACAGAUUUCCCUUGCGGCUUCCCGUGUUCGGCCUCCUCCGUGACACGUGGCCUCCCUCUGAAGCAGGAGUUUAAACUCAUUCCAGGAUAUUUCAGCUUCCUCUCCCAGCUGGUUUCUAGGGCAUGGCAGGGAUGACCCUGCUUCCAAACACUUUCUCCACUGACACAGGAGUUUGCUCUUCUCUUCUGUACCAUUUUCCUGAAGAACUGGAAGACUAAGAGCAAGAUCCUCGGAACAUGUAACAGUGUAGACAAAGCAGGACUUACUUCAAUGAGGACAUGGCCAUCAAUAUGCAGACAGAGCACCCCAAAUCUUUAAGAUUUUCCACAUACUGCAUCAUUACUUCUGUUGCCUUUGACAUACGCUUUUCCUAAGGAAGAAAAGAAGGAAAUACCCAGGCUGGAAAAGAGUGAACCUGUGGAUCCAGGAUAGAGUUAAACACCAGGAUGCUCUCACCUGGCGAACGGCUCCG